rnacentral:rRNA from 1 species
ACRUGACAUUGCCUCAGUAACGGCGAGUGAAGCGGCAAAAGCUCAAAUUUGAAAUCUGGCACCUUCGGUGUCCGAGUUGUAAUUUGAAGAAGGUAACUUUGGAGUUGGCUCUUGUCUAUGUUCCUUGGAACAGGACGUCACAGAGGGUGAGAAUCCCGUGCGAUGAGAUGCCCAAUUCUAUGUAAAGUGCUUUCGAAGAGUCGAGUUGUUUGGGAAUGCAGCUCUAAGUGGGUGGUAAAUUCCAUCUAAAGCUAAAUAUUGGCGAGAGACCGAUAGCGAACAAGUACAGUGAUGGAAAGAUGAAAAGAACUUUGAAAAGAGAGUGAAAAAGUACGUGAAAUUGUUGAAAGGGAAGGGCUUGAGAUCAGACUUGGUAUUUUGCAAGCCUUACCUUCGUGGUGGGGUCCCCUGCAGUUUACUGGGCCAGCAUCGGUUUGGAUGGUAGGAUAAUGACUUGGGAAUGUGACUUUGCUUCGGUAAAGUGUUAUAGCCCUUGUUGAUACUGCCUGUCUAGACCGAGGACUGCGUCUUUGACUAGGAUGCUGGCAUAAUGAUCUUAAGUCGCCCGUCUUGAAAMCACGGAACACCA